rnacentral:rRNA from 1 species
UACAGAGGGGGCAAGCGUUGUUCGGAAUUACUGGGCGUAAAGGGCGCGUAGGCGGCCACCUAAGUCAGGCGUGAAAUCCCUCGGCUCAACCGGGGAACUGCGUCUGAUACUGGGUGGCUUGAAUUCGGGAGAGGAAUGCGGAAUUCCAGGUGUAGCGGUGAAAUGCGUAGAUAUCUGGAGGAACACCGGUGGCGAAGGCGGCAUUCUGGACCGACAUUGACGCUGAGGCGCGAAAGCCAGGGGAGCAAACGGG